rnacentral:rRNA from 1 species
UACGUAGGGCGCAAGCGUUGUCCGGAAUUAUUGGGCGUAAAGAGCUCGUAGGCGGUUUGUCGCGUCUGCUGUGAAAACCCGAGGCUCAACCUCGGGCCUGCAGUGGGUACGGGCAGACUAGAGUGUGGUAGGGGAGACUGGAAUUCCUGGUGUAGCGGUGGAAUGCGCAGAUAUCAGGAGGAACACCAAUGGCCGAAGGCAGGUCUCUGG